rnacentral:lncRNA from 1 species
AUGAGGUUACAUAUUUAAUGCAGAAUGUUCCCUAGGCUCCUCUGUUUGUUCUGUCUGUAGAAAUCUCUCUCUUUUUUUUCCUGUUAUCUUAGAUCCAGCCUUCUUUCACACUAUAGUAGAAAAAGUGUGCACACUUCUGCUACCAUUGUCUCACUGCAUUGGUAAGCUGAGCAUCCUCCCUCCACGUGACUCUCACUAUUCUUAUGACCGCACUAGUGAAGGACAAAGAUGAAAACCAGCUAAUAGGAAAAGAGCGUCCGACUUUCUAGAGACAGGAGUUAAUUCUGUCUGGGGGAUGGCCACAGAAUGAGGGCAGGGAAGAAGGUGUCCAGGUUAGGUCAGAGCAGAGACAAGAACUACAUCUCUAGGCAAGAAGUCCAUCAGGUGGUCCUCUGAGCAUUUCUCAAAAUAACGAAAUUCAGUCCAUAUAACAUUGUCAUAGCCACUGCACGUUUCCAUUUAGAUUCACUCACUAACUGGAAGGAAACCCUCCCCUCUGCAGCCACACACACACAUUUUAUAUAUACAUAUAUUAUGAAUUUGGGAGUGUUACUAGUAUAGCACUUGAAGUUUUCACAAGUAACAUCUGUAUUGACUGGAUUCUUUUUUUCUUUUCUAUUAAAGUCUAUGCCAU